GCAAACUUGGUCAUUUAGAGGAAGUAAAAGUCGUAACAAGGUCUCCGUUGGUGAACCAGCGGAGGGAUCAUUACCGAGUUUACAACUCCCAAACCCAUGUGAACAUACCCUUAAACGUUGCCUCGGCGGGAACCGAUCGCCCCGUAACACGGGCCGGCCCGCCAGAGGACCCCCAAACACUUGUAUCAUCUUGUAUCUUCUGAGUAACAAGCAAAAUAAAUUAAAACUUUCAACAACGGAUCUCUUGGUUCUGGCAUCGAUGAAGAACGCAGC
rnacentral:misc_RNA from 1 species